GACGAACGCUGGCGGCGUGCUUAACACAUGCAAGUCGAACGGAAAGGCCCUGCUUUUGUGGGGUGCUCGAGUGGCGAACGGGUGAGUAACACGUGAGUAACCUGCCCUUGACUUUGGGAUAACUUCAGGAAACUGGGGCUAAUACCGGAUAGGAGCUCCUGCUGCAUGGUGGGGGUUGGAAAGUUUCGGCGGUUGGGGAUGGACUCGCGGCUUAUCAGCUUGUUGGUGGGGUAGUGGCUUACCAAGGCUUUGACGGGUAGCCGGCCUGAGAGGGUGACCGGCCACAUUGGGACUGAGAUACGGCCCAGACUCGUACGGGAGGCAGCGGUGGGGAAUAUUGCACAAUGGGAGGAAGCCUGAUGCAGCAACGCCGCGUGCGGGAUGACGGCCUGCGGGUUGUAAACCGCUUUCGCCUGUGACGAAGCGUGAGUGACGGUAAUGGGUAAAGAAGCACCGGCUAACUACGUG
rnacentral:rRNA from 1 species